rnacentral:rRNA from 1 species
UACCCCAUACGCCCUUCGGGGGAAAGCAGGGGAUCGUUCGGACCUUGGCACUAUGGAUGAGCCUGCGUGAGAUUAGCUAGUUGGUGAGGUAAUGGCUCACCAAGGCGACGAUCUCUAGCUGGUCUGAGAGGAUGAUCAGCCACACUGGAACUGAGACACGGUCCAG